rnacentral:rRNA from 1 species
AGUAUAGUAGAGGUAAAGGGAAUUUCCAGUGGCGCGAUGAAUUGCGAAGAUAUUGGAAAGAGCACCAACAGCGAAAGUCACUUUACUGUGCUAUCACUGACACUCAGAGAGGAAAGCUAGGGGGAGCAAACCGGAUUAGAUACCCAGGUAGUCCUAUGGUGGUAAAGUAUGAACACGAGAUCUUGCUUACUCGUAGAGUCGGCAGUCUCGUAGCGAACACGUUAAGUGUUCCGCCUAGGAAGUAUGCUCGCAAGAGUGAAACUCAAAGGAAUUGACGAGGACCCGCACAAGCGGUGGAGUAUGUGGUUUAAGUCGAUCCAACACGAAGAACCUUACCAGGACUUGACAAUAAGAGAAGUUUCUUGAAAGAGAAAUAUGCUACGGCCUCUUAAACAGGUGGUGCAUGGCUGUCGUCAGCUCGUGUCGUGAGAUGUUAGGUUAAGUCCUGCAACGAGCGCAACCCUUGUUUGGGGUUAGUCUUGUACAAAGACUACCAAUCAUGAAUUGGAGGAAGGGGAGGAGGACGUCAAGUCAUCAUGCCCCUUACGUCCUGGGCUACACACAUACUACAAUGGAUAGGACAAAAAGUGGGAAAUUUCCGAAAAUGAGGUAAUCUCAAAACGUAUCCUUAGUUCAGAUUGUAGGGGGCAACUCUCCUCCACGACAGUGAAAUGGCUAGUAAUGGCAGGUCAGAUUAUGAUGCGGUGGAUCCGUUCCCGGGUGUCCACACACCGCCCGUCACAC